GGCGUCUGUUUGCAAAAGAUUCUCAUUGGUUGAUUCACCAAAAACAAUUAAGGGGGUGAAAGUACCCCAUUUGCAAGGAUCACUUCAGCUCGUCGAUUGUUGCUGCUUAGAACAAUAGUUAAGUGGCGUCUGUUUGCAAAAGAUUCUCGUUAGCUGAUUCACCAACAACAAAUAAAGGGGUGAAAGUACCCCAUUUGCAAGGAUCGCUUGAGCUCGUCGAUUGUUGCUGCUUAGAACAAUAGCGAAGUGACCCCUAUACGAAACUUUCUCGUUGGUCGAGUUAGCAAGUAUAAUUAAGGAGAUGAAAAUACCCCAUUUGCUAAGGGUCGUCUCGUUUCGUCGAUUGUUACUGCUUAGAA